GCGUAGCCCGCUGGGAGUUGUAGUUCCCACUGAACACAGAAACAGCAGUGCCUUUGCGACGGCUUGUGGGAAAUGGAGUCAGCGGAGGUAGCAGUGACUGAUUUCCCAACCCCCCUGACUGUUGACUUUGCUACCAUUGCUGUGCAGUGAGCAUGAACGUACUGUACCUCUCCACAGCAGACCACUUCCCUGUCAGCUCCUCACAUCUGUGGUGCAUUGAUGGGAUUCAUCUGAGUGAUGACCUGGGUGUGCCUCUCCUUCCCCAGCUGAUUUGGUGUGCAGCUUACUACAGCAACAGGAAUCCUAAGCAGGAGAGCAGACAGUUUGAGAGCAGAAAAAAAGGCUCAUUUAAACCAACUGUCAGAAAAACAAGAACUAUGAAGUGAGCUUUGAAGAUAUGAUCUGUAGCUGGGUUAUACGUCCAGCUUGUAGACAUUCGCAGGACACUUGAGGAGGAGAGGGGAAGAGGGAAGAAGAGACAUCACCGUGCCGCUUUCAGUUCAUACCAUGACGUAUUCUCCAUAUCUCCUGCUUCAAAAACAUCAUACCUGAGGCACCUCUCCGAAUUCCGUUCAGCUGCAAAGUCCAUUCAAAACAGUGACGUCACAACCCACAGUGCCACUGACCAGGAUUCUCUCGAUCAGUCUUUUACCAUUGCUUUAUGAAAUUAACAAUGGACUAAAUGAAUAAAUGUUGGUGAUGAUUAGAAAAUAAAUCUAGCUGCAUUUGAUCUAUAAUAAGCCGUGUGCAAUAGAUUUACAGGACUGGGAGUGUGUGGGUUAUACUGGCACCCCAUAAACUCCCCGGCCCGCUCACAUCUACUCCUGCUGAUAACCCUACAAUCACAUAUUUGAGAUGACCGGUACAGAUUUGUUCCAGCGCAUCUGGUCUCUCCUGUGCAUGGAACACACUGCGCGGGACAUUUGUAACCCUUCACAAAGCUGCUUGUUUCAUUGCGUAGAUGCAGAGCACACUUACCUGGCUGGAGCCUCCGGCGCAGGGCUCAGGGAUAUCACGGCCAUCAAGAAGGAGACACGGUGCAAACAGGUCUGUCUGGACUGGGGGGAGAAAUGCUGACUGGAUUUGGUUUGCAAAACCCUGGUAAUAAAUCAUAAAAAGACAUGAAGAGAAGCCAAGUCUUAAGUAAGCUGAAACACCAGGAAAAAAACGAUCAGAUUCUGUCCUGCUCUAGUAGGGCUCUGUGAAGGGGAAAGGCCUGAUGGGGAGCACAGUCAAUCACACCUCUCUCACUGUACCUGGUGUCACUCAGGCAGGUAUCAACAAUAAUGAACAGACCCGUCCCCCUGGUCCUCACCACAGGAGAGCUGCAGCCACACUCUCAAACCCCUCCCCCAGGUCCUCACCACAGGAGAGCUGCAGCCACACUCCCAAACCCCCUCCCCGAGGUCCUCACCACAGGAGAGCUGCAGCCACACUCCCAAACCCCCCAUUGCUUCUGUAUCAGAACCGGCUGACUUCCACCCCCCACACCCCGUGUUCCAUAUCAUGCCGAUGUUCAGCCCCAGGCUCUGAGACAGGUUGACUGCCAUGGGGCCCACGUUCCCAUAGUGCAGACAGAGAGACAGUACUUAUAAAGGAUAACAUGAGCACAGUGUCACAGGAGACACAAGCAGGACGUGCCCAAGAUCUCUAAUGUGGCUUUUUAUUUCCCACCAGGUUGUAGCUCCAUCGCAUUCUGCCAAUUCCUUUACAAAUGAAUCAGCUCGGUUGUUGAAAUGUGGAUGCAAUGUGAUGUGUGAAAGUCCUCAAGCACUCCCCAGCUAGAACCACAAAGAGCAGCUUGUGUUUCUAAUACAGUGGCAAUUGAUGACAGAGCUGGUGCUCUGAGUAAGGGUAACUGAAGACUGGUUUCAACAACCCACCCCCAAAUCGCAUUCACCUCGUUGACCCCCCCCCCCCCUCUAAAUCCUCUACUUAAUUUGCUUUUUCAAAUAUUUCUUAUAAAAAGCAGCACACCGUUUUAAUUCGUACAGCGGAGAGUAAAGCCAAUUAACUUCAGUCUCCAAUUAAU